rnacentral:tRNA from 1 species
GGACGCACCGGCCGGUGCGCGGCGCCCCGUUCUAGACGGGGUAGCGGUCGGCCAGGUCGCGGUAGGCGGCGAUCACGGCCUCCGUGCGCCCG